UCAUAGCUGAGUGCUAAAGGGAUCUAAAUAUUGAAGUGAGGAAGACAAAUGAUAGAAGGAUGAAGGUCAAAUGGAAACCUCCAGAGGUCUCAAGCCAACAGAAGCAACAUAUAUGUGAAGAGUUAUUUCAGAAAGGGGGUUUUGGAAGGGGUUUUCAAAGAGAGUGACCCAUCUUCAAAGCAUCUCUGAAGGGACUUUAGUGCCAUUGAACAUCAAAGACUGAACACUGUUACCACAGACCAAGUCCCUUAUUUUUUUAAAAAGACACAACCAACCCAGAGAGGCAAAUUAGCCCUUGGUUAUACAAGAAGUUGUAAGAAGCAGCGUAUCUCUUACGUCUUUUCUUUGCAGUUGCUACAAAGUAAAAGAAAAUCAAUUCGGUGUAUUCUCCAGGAGUAUGAAGGAAAACAGCCCUUAUUUCAAAAAAUUUUGGAUGGAAGAAAACCAAAAUAAUUUGUGUGGUUAUUGUUUUGUAAUACUGAUGGUGAAAUGCAUGUGAAUUAUCCAGACACAUCUUUAUUUCAGCCAUCCUAAAAUUUUGACUAGAAUUACAUAUUAAACCCUAAUUGCAUAAAUGUAAUUAAAAUAUCAGCUUAUCAAUGA